CACAGAGGCAGGGAACCUGUUGACCAGAGGCGGUCUGUCUUUCCAGUACCAGACCAAACAGUCGGUUGGGCGCACUCGUGAGGCUCUGUCUCUGGGUCCUCUGUUCGGAGCCGUUGACCUGGAUGGCCACGCUGCUGCUCGCUGUGGCCACGUCGCAAGUCCUGAAAUUGGGCAGCCCGGGUCCACCCUCUUGUUUCUUCUCUUUCAGGAUGUCUGAGCUGCGCCAGUUCCUCGGUUUCUGUGUAAAUUUUAGGAAAACCUUGUCCGUGUCUGCACACAGUUUGGGCUUUUGUUAGGACUUGUGUGGGUCAAUUUGGGGAGAAUGGACGUCUUUGCUGCUUUGACUCUUACGAGGCAGGAAGGCCGCGUGGCUCUCUCUUUUCGCUCUCCUUUGAUUUAUCGCAUCUGUAUCAUGCAGUUUUCAGUGUAUGCAGAUUCUAUACAUUUUUGGUUAGUUUCCACCUGUUCCUCUUUUUUCAAGCAAUUACGAGUGGCACUGUAUUUUUAAUUUGGGGAACCCGUGUGUUCAUUGCCAGUGAAUGGAAACACAAUUGGUUUUUGUGUGUUUUUCUUGUGUCCCGCAACCUUGCAGGACUCGCUCAUUCUGUGAGUUUUGUCUUUUACUUCUAGUCCCGUUCACUUAACACUCUCUGCGUGCCAGGCGUUGUGUUAAGGGUGUGUUUUCCGAAGCCCAGGAGUUGCUGGAGCUCGGAUCUUCACCUGUAAAUUACGUAUUCUCUCCAUCUCUUCGGUGGGCAGAUAUAAGGAGGCCCUAUACGGACCAGAUGCAGGGUUCCUGCCCUCCUGGGGCCUAUGGUCUGAGACCAGAGCUAGAAAUGACGUGAGUGGUCAUGUAACUUAGUAAAACAAGUCUAAAAAUACAGCAAGAAGUUGAUUCGUUGUAACUUAGGGCCUCUGCCUCACACCGUAGUGGGCAGGACGGGGCCAUCUCGUCCGCCUGUGUGGAGUGGGAGCCCCGGCAGGGCCUGAGCCGUGUGCGUUUUCCCAGGAAAGGUUUCCCAGGCCGGACUGCUUGCGGAGUCUUACAUCAGUUUUUGAAAUUCAGAGACGUGGCCCGAGGUAAAAACUCUCAUGCAGAGAAUUCUAAAUAUUCCUUGAGGAGGAGUCCAGGACUCUUGGCCAAACCGAAUGAAGUCCCCCAGCCACCACCAACCUCACCUCUGUCACCUGCUGCUGUACGAGGCCUCCCCCGCCCUCCCCAGCCCUGAACCACUCUGUCAACUGCUAACUCUCUUUUUGAGAAAACGCUUGAAUUGGCUCGGGGAUCUGUCUGUAAGCCCGUGUAACUAAAAGUUCAAUUAUAGUGAAGCUCUGCUAUCUGUUACUAGUCUGCUUAUUCUUAAAAGUCCCUUAAAUUUAGCGGCAUGACAGAAGUAGGCGGUCCCUGAGAACUUUUUGGUGCCUGUUCUGACGAGAUAACGCGUCAGCCCUUGGCGCAGGUGGGGGGGCCUUUUUUUUUAGGGCCACACCCACAGCGUAUGGAAGUUCCCAGGCUAGGGGUCGAAUCGGAGCUGAAGCUGCCAGCCGACGCCACAGCACGGCAGCACGGAAUUCAAGCUGUGCCUGCGACCUACAUGACAGCUUGCAGCCACUCUGGAUCCUUCACCCACCGAGCAAGGCCGGCGAUCAAACUUGAAUCCUCAUGGAUACUAGUUGGGUUCAUUACCGCUGAGCCCCAGUGGGAACUCCUGUUGGCACUUCUUACAUUUUGAUUUAAGGUAUUAGAAAGUAUCUCCCCAGACAUUUGCUUCCUUACAGAACCUGAUUUUGCUUUAUGUAGGAUGGUUGAAAACUGUCACUGUUUUUGGUUAUAUUUUAUUUUGUAUUUAUGUGCUUUAAAAACCUCAGGUGGGUUUUCCCGCUGUGGCCCAGCGGGUUAAGAACUCAGCUGUAGCAGCUGGAGGCUCAGGUUGCUGCGAGGUGGGGGUUUGAUCCAUGGCCUGGCGAAGUGGGUUAAAGGAUCUGGUAUUGCCACACGUGUGGCUCAGAUUCAUUCCCCAGCUUGGGAAUUUCCAUAGGCCAUUGGGUGUGACCAUAAAAAAAAA
rnacentral:lncRNA from 1 species